GAAAACCCUAGUUUCACGCCGGCCCUUCUCCAUCCAACUCCUCAUCUUCCGAUAGUUUUUGAUCCCGAACCCUUCUCCCAACUCCUCAUCUCACGCUGGCCUUCUCCAUCUAACUCCUCCUCUCACGCCCUCUCCUUCCAACUCCUCUCCGGCAGACCCCCGCAAACCACUCCUCCGAACUCCUCUCCGUGUGAGAGAUCGACCCAUCUCUUCGCCUCCUUCGCCCCUGACGCUGAGGCAGUGUGACCACACUCGAUCAAAUGAUGCCUUCGCUCCGAUCGCCGUCUCUAACCCUAAUCCAUCCUCCGUCGAUCACUCCCUCGACAACGCUGGCGUCCUCAUCUCCUCACAGGAUGCGGAGGCCUUGCUCAAGCUCUCUUACUCCUUGUCAGGUGUCGCCGUUGGCUUCUUUCUUGGGCGGUAUCCGCUACCUCAACGAUCAACAGUCACCCUAUGUGUGGAACUUUAUGGUCGACCUCCUCGGCAAUAACCUCCUUUUUGACACUAUGUGGAACUCCGUUCGCUCCAUGCAAUUUGAGGCCUUCUCUCACUAUGCGAAGCUAUGGAUUUCUCCAUCGAGUCACUGUUUUGUGCCUUGCGUUAUGCCAAACUCAGCAUUUUCUUGUAAGGGUUGGCUCUAUAAUUAAGUUCCUAUCUACCAAUUAUUUCAAAGCCCUAACUCUUUAUGACUCUAAAUGUGAGGGAAAACUACCAAGUCCCACAUUUAGGAGACAUGUGAUUCAGAUGCAAGGUCUUUUAUUGAAAUACUGCAGAGGUAGCAAAAGACAAGUAUCUUAAAUGAUAGAAGAGUCAAAUAAAACCAUUUAUUACUAUUAUUAUUAUCUUUAUCUUUUGAUCUAUGAUAUGAAAGGUUUUUGACCUGGAUUGCUUAUGUUAAGAAUAUUAUUAGUAAAUAUCAAGGGCUUCUUGAAUGGUUUAUUACAAAGCCAAGGUUUGUUGCAACUGCAGGAUAUAUAGAUGUCCUAGGACACUUUAGCUUAUGAGUUUUUCCAUUAAUCCUUUUGAAAAUCUGUUAUGUUCAUUCUUCAGUUAUUCACUCAUUCUACAUCCAAGGAUGGCAAAGUUGCAAAUUGAUCUAAUUUUCCAUCUUUGGUGUGGUCAAAUUGGGAAAUCUUGAAUGUUGCCAUGAUCUGUUUGUUUCUUGAAUUUGAUACAUAUUUAUUAGCUUGAAAUAUUUCAAUUUGGCAUCAGAUAUGACUGCUGUCCAAAUAUAAUUAUAGUAUGUUCCAAGAAUGAAUUCAGUAUUCAUGUCCAACGAGGAUUUUGAAUGUUGUCUUCUAACCUCAAGUUUGUGUGGACAGUUGGAUGCCUCUAGUUAGCCAUUGAGCUGUUUCUACUGGAUUUAAUAUUUUGUAGUUUGCUAAUGUAUUUAAUGUUAGGUUGAUCCCAUUGUAUAGCAUCAACAGAUUUCUGGUUAAUCAAAUAGCAAAUACAACAUUUGAAUACAAUUCUAUUAUUAUCCUUUCACUAUGACUACAAAGAGAUGAAAACUAAAAUGCACAUAUCUUUUGAUUCUUGCACUAUCGUCUAUAUUUUAUUUUAGUUAUCAAUUUGACAUUUUCUCUUUUUUGAAAAGUCACUAAAGUCAUGUCUGUAUGCUAAAUGCACAAUAUUACACAACUCUGUUGUCUAAGUAGUUGUAUGUAUUUAUAAUUCUCAUAAAUUUGUAGGAACUGAUUCUUCAACCCAUUCACCUCCCAAUAGGAUUGGACAAGUUUCACAUAGUGUUGUUCUAGGAAUUGUUAAUAUUUCUGAUCAAAGAGAACUAAUGGGCUUGUUGCCUGAUAUUCGUCGGGUAUUUUCUUCAGAAGUUGUAUGACUUCACCUUUACUUGAAGUUAUGCAUUUCUAUGUUUUGGUCUCUUGCAAGUUUAUCUACAAUAUGCUUUAUCCUUUUUAAAAGUUGGUGUAGUUCUGCUAUCUCUAGGAGCUGGGAUUUUAUCUCCUGCUGGUGCUAUCAACACCCCGCUUGUCUCCUAUAUAAUAAGAAGAUGUUUUUAGGGGAAUUAAUGCCCUCUGUGGGGUAGGGAUCCUUUCAACUCCUUAUGCUGUCAAAGAAGGGGAUGUCUUGGCCUAUCCAUAGUUCUAAUAUUUUCUAUGCUUGUCUGGUAUACUGGCAUUCUGCUGCGCUACUACUUGGACAAUGAGGAAGGACUUGAGACAUACCCUGAUAUCGGACAAGCAGCCUUUGACACCACAAGCUGAUUUGCCAUCUCUGUACGUAUAGUGCAUAUCAAUUGCUCAUCCCUUUUUACCUAUUAAUAAGAGAUCUGAUAAGCUAAUUAACCUUGGUUAUUUAAUCCGUGUAUCGUAGAUUGUUCUCUACCUAGAGUUGUGUGUAAAUAAUGAAAACAAAUUCAUAUUUAAGCUUUGGUGGUAGUUCUAUUUUUUUUAACUAAAUAUUUAAUAUUUCUGUUUUACUAAUUUUUGUAUAUUAUGCAGGUUUGCUGUGUUGAGUAUAUCAUUUUAGAGAGGGAUAAAUUUUCUUCUUUGUUUCCAAAUGCAUAGUUGGAAUUAGGUGGGCUACAUAUGGACUCUCCUCUUCUCUUUGCCAUUUUAACCACUCUUCUAGUACUUCCCACAAUAGGGGUUCGAGAUUUAAGUGUUCUUAGUUACCUAUUAGAUAAUAGGCAGCUCCUAGUAAUAGCACAGGACAUUCACAAGAUGUUAGUAGCAGAGCUCAACAAAACAAUCAAACACAGCCACCUGUUACGUUGGUCAAUCAACCCUUUCAAGUGCAACUCGCGAUCACCAGCCGCACUACAACCAAAUAUGUGUCUUUUCAGAUAUUUUGAAUGGUGAAUGGAUGUAUUCAGAAACUCCAGCUAAAUAGCUCGGAUAUGGAUGAUUAUAGGAGCAGCAACUACAUGCUAUGUGGCACUGCAUCCAAACCUCAAGGGGAGGGUGUGACUGGAAAGUACUUCAACGAAGAACUAUUAAGAAGACUUUGGAAUUUAAACGAGAAGAUGGUUAAAGCCAAUGAGUAAAGAACAUUCAAGUCAAGAGGAUAAGUAGCAUCUAGCAAGAUUCUUUAAGUUCAUGCAAUAAGAUAUAAUCGAUAGGAGUAGUUUUGAGUGUUUCCUAAUUAAAAUUUCUUUGUAUGCAAGUAAUUAUGUUUGUUAUAGAAAUGUAAGGAUGAUAAUUUAUAUAUUGAUCUUAGUUGUUUAUUUAA